rnacentral:lncRNA from 1 species
CUACUUGGCAGAAUCAAAUCAGACAGUGUUCCUGAGAAUAAGGAUGCUGGAGGGUCGGAUGACGAUGACGACGAUGAUGAUGAAGAUGAGGAUGAUGAUGGGGGUGAAGAUGAUGAUGAUGCUGAGGAGUACUCUGGGGAUGAUGGGGGUGAAGAUGAUGAUGAUGACGAUGAUGAUCCUGAGGCUAAUGGUGAAGGAGGGAGUGAUGACGACGACGACGAUGAUGAAGAUGGUGAUGACGAUGGUGAGGAUGACGAUGAUGAUGACGAUGAUGAUGAUGAUGAAGAUGAAGACGAAGAUGAGGACCAGCCACCUUCUAAGAAGAAGAAGUGAUCUGGCAAUUUUCACCCUGCAUCCACCCCCUUGCUGUUUCAUGCUGCUAGUUGUGUUGUUUAGAUGGUGAAACAGGUUUGGGACCA